rnacentral:rRNA from 1 species
AGUCGACGGCAGCGCGGGACAACCUGGCGGCGAGUGGCGAACGGGUGAGUAAUAUAUCGGAACGUACCCAAGAGUGGGGGAUAACGUAGCGAAAGUUACGCUAAUACCGCAUACGAUCUAAGGAUGAAAGCAGGGGAUCUUCGGACCUUGUGUUCCUGGAGCGGCCGAUAUCUGAUUAGCUAGUUGGUGAGGUAAAGGCUCACCAAGGCCACGAUCAGUAGCUGGUCUGAGAGGACGACCAGCCACACUGGAACUGAGACACGGUCCAGACUCCUACGGGAGGCAGCAGUGGGGAAUUUUGGACAAUGGGCGAAAGCCUGAUCCAGCAAUGCCGCGUGAGUGAAGAAGGCCUUCGGGUUGUAAAGCUCUUUUGUCAGGGAAGAAACGGUGAGGGCUAAUAUCCCUCGCUAAUGACGGUACCUGAAGAAUAAGCACCGGCUAACUACGUGCCAGCAGCCGCGGUAAUACGUAGGGUGCAAGCGUUAAUCGGAAUUACUGGGCGUAAAGCGUGCGCAGGCGGUUUUGUAAGUCUGACGUGAAAUCCCCGGGCUCAACCUGGGAAUUGCGUUGGAGACUGCAAGGCUAGAAUCUGGCAGAGGGGGGUAGAAUUCCACGUGUAGCAGUGAAAUGCGUAGAGAUGUGGAGGAACACCGAUGGCGAAGGCAGCCCCCUGGGUCAAGAUUGACGCUCAUGCACGAAAGCGUGGGGAGCAAACAGGAUUAGAUACCCUGGUAGUCCACGCCCUAAACGAUGUCUACUAGUUGUCGGGUUUUAAUUAACUUGGUAACGCAGCUAACGCGUGAAGUAGACCGCCUGGGGAGUACGGUCGCAAGAUUAAAACUCAAAGGAAUUGAC